AAGCCUCCUUGCCUGUCCGCUUGUACCUCUCACAAGCGUCCUAUCCUAACAGAUCUCUUUCUUGCCUAUUACUUUGCCUCACUGAAUUCCUUCUGUGAUGAGACACAAAGAACCUGAGCCUCAGGAAGUGCAGACACCAGUGUCAAUAAAGAGGAGAAAUGGAACAUGGGCUUGAGCUUUCUGCUGCAAUUCACUGCCACUGCCAUCUCUGGAGACUGGCCACUACAACACUUGAGUGUUGAUUCUCAGCCAGUGACAGGCAAACCCGUCCCUCGAUCUGAUCAACUGUCCCUGUUGAUCUGAGAACUAGAAGGCUUCAGCUCAGAGGAUGGAACUGGUUCCAAAGCAAGGACCUCCCUGGAAUGAGAGAUCAACUAGGUGUGAAAAAGCAUCCCAAAGCCUCUGGACUCACUGCCAAUGCAAUUAGCUGCUACGAAAUUUGGGUAGGGAGUGUCGUGUUUCUGGAAGUGUCCAGAGGGAGCUUGGAUGAGCAAUUCUUGGAAAGAUUUUUAAAGCUUGCCCCAAGAACUUGCUGGACUCUCAUGCCAUACGAGAGACCCUCAAAGGACACUGGAUAUUUACCUUGAAGAAAAGAAAACUCUGCUGGGAGAGAGGGGUGGUUAAGAAACACUAACCCAUUUGAUAAUUUUGUGAGUACAGGGGAGCUGAGCUAUUGCUGUGUAUUCCUAUGGAGAAAUAAAUAGUAAUAGAAAUUACCGAAGCACAUUCUAAUGGAAAGGGCUAGCCAGAUAGAGAAUAUGCCUCUGAAGAGGUAAUGAGGUUGAAGUGACUAUUGUAACUUUCUGGAAAUGAACUAGAUGUUGUGUAGUAAAUAGGGGGAAGUAGGUCAAUUCGAUCCAUUAGAUUUUAUAAAAUUAUAUGAUGCAGAAGCAAAGAGGGAGCUAUUGAAUUUUAGCUGCUAUUAUGGAAGGCUAGGACUGGACUACAAUGAUGUGACCCACAAUCACAGUAAUUGUUCAGGUGGACUUUGUAAAUGAGCUGAAAUCAUUCUUUUGAAAAUAACUCUUCAAAGUGAGAAGAUUUCUCCAAUCCACAUUUUCUAGUCUGCUUGGCUGUCCCCUCUGGGCUCAGUCAAAGAAACCCAUGCAGUGGAAGUAUGUUUAGCAAUUGGGCCUGUUCCCAGGUUGCGAGACAUUUAGCAAAAAUCCAGAGUUAUUAUUAGAUCUAAAUGGAGGCUUUUGUCAAAAGGCCUCUUGAACUGUUAGGAAAUCAGAGUGCAAAUUGAUAAUGACACACAACACAUCCCUGCCCUGGCAGCUCCCCGAAGGCUGCUGAGAUACCCCAGAAAGAACUUGCAUGGCCUCAUGCCAACAGCGUGUUGCUCAACCCUCGUCCUUCUCCUAAGUCGGCUUGACAACUGCAUUCUUCUCUUCCUUGUAAGAGGCAGAAGGAGAUGGAUUAAAGAGGAUGUUUGAACUGAGACUAUUAAUUUCCUUGCAGUGUGUAUUCAAGUCAGAUCCCUUUAGAAGAGCCUUUUGUGGUUUCAUAAAAUUACAACUUUGGCUAUUCGGCUGCCUUUUCCAAAGUACAAAUUUGGCUUCUAAAGAAAACACACUUCAUAGGAAAAAAGGAAAGAAAUGAGUACGUAGUUAUCUUUAAAUAUAUUCAUUUUAUAUAAUCGUUCUGUUACGCAAAGAAACAAUUACAGUAUUAACUACUUAUUAAUAAAAGAAAUCAUAAAACAUAGUGUCUUCAUAAACCCUUUCAGGUUUUCAUGAGUUUUAUUUGAAAGAAGUUAAUAAAACAGAUUUUUUUUUUUUCCUUAGAGUUUAUGAAUGGAAAAAUACUUUUUUAAACUAUCGGGCUUAAAAAUGAAUGUUCCUCCUCUUUCUAAGACUGUGGCAAUACUUUUUACCUUUUCAAGGGACAGGUGAGCAGUCAUUUCAUGGGUGAAGCGCGUGCGUGCGAUGUCUUGCAGAGACAUUGCAGCAUGGAUUCCUUCCCCUCCUCUUUCUAGCCCCGGCCUCUCUGGCUUCCUCUAACUGUGCCUUACACUGGAGUGCACAGGGAUGCGGCUCACUUAGCAUCUACGUUAUUUCGAUUCUUCUUGCCAGCCCCUGUUUCUCUGGGCCAAGCUCUAGCCCAGCACCUCACACGUGGCAGGAAGUCUGUUUUAUUGAAUGAAUCCCUAAAUGUGAGGCCUGGAAGAGGAGAGAUUCUUUUCUCUGCUCUGCGGGUUAGACAAACUUUGGUUGGUUGGAACUCAUAGAAAACAAAACCCAAUUUAGCUACCACUCCCUGGAGAAAGGCAGCUUGAGAUUUAGGAGUCACCUCCAGGGCUUGGGGAUGAAGUUCAGACACUAAAGCGUCGGGGAGGGGACAGAACACACUGUGAUUUUUCUUUUCAAGGGCCCCACGUAGCACCUGCAACCCCACCUCUGGUCCUGAUGCUGUGUGACUUUGACCAAGCGCUGGUCCCCACUAGGUUUUCUCUUCUCGGGGGACCUCAGUGGCUCUCAAUCAGGGCUAUGCUUGAGAACCACCACUGGAGAUUUUUAAAACACCUAUGCCUGGGGCCCACCUCGGACCAAUACAUUCAGAAACCUAAUGGCUGUGGACCAGCUGUGUAUUUUUUAAAAAUUUGCAGGUGAUUCCAAAGUGAAGCUGGGUUUAAACUUUGGUGUCUCUCCUUUAAUAUGAUGAGGAUGACCUGGGAUCUUGUAAAAAUGCAGAUUCUGAUUCAGCAGCUUUUGGGUGGAGCCUGCAUGUCUGCAUCUGAAGCCAGGGCUCAGGUGAUGCUGGCUGUCUCUGGUGCACCUGGACAAGGACCCAGAGCCUGGAGUAAAACCUGGGGACUUUAAGGCCUCACCUCAGGCCCACUGAAUCGCAUCCUGCAUUUGAAAUAUUCCUCGGUGAUUUGUAAUACUUCAAAGUUGUGUUUGAGAAACAACUAAAUAAUCCAUGAGAAACCUCCCCUGCCUCCACUUUAGACAGCCUCUGCUUACUUUCACCUGUUUUUCCUUCCUGUGCCCCUGUGCUCACCAUAACCCAGCAGCUGAGGCUCUUUGUACUUGCCCAGAUGUGUCCUGCGUGGCCUGACACUGCCUUUCCAACAUGACAUGGCCAUGCCCUUUAUAUGGACUAGAUCCUAACCCUUUACCCACUCCUUUCCUACCCAACCUUCAAGAUUUGGGGAUGAAGUCCUCCAGGGAAGCUGAUGUAACUAUUUCCACCCACCACCCGACUCUAACUUGGCUCCCCUGUGCUUUCUUACACUGAAAGAAAAUUACCCAUAUAUGUGCUUCGCUCCCCACCGAGGAUGUACAAUUAAUUCUGCAUUGUCAAAAACUGAGUUUUGAGGUUUUUUUUUUCUGAUUGAUCAAGGUGCUGGCACAGAGUAUGCACUUGUACUUUUCCGUGUGGGUUCUGAUUAGGAUGGAGAUCUUAACAGAUCUUCCACAUCAAGCUCUUCUUCCUGCCCAGAGUCUUGGCAACACACCAUGUGGCUAGAGAAACGCCAAGUGGAUUUCCCAGCUCAGCCUGGCACCAAAUCUCACUUUUUUUGUCUUGAGGACAUGUUGGGACCCCUGUAAACUCUCCAAGGCUUGAGACCCCCAUGCCCCAGAGGAAAGUGGCUUUGGUGGGCUUUCCUCUGGGACGGGAAUAGAUAGAUGAGUGAGAAAGGCAUCCACUUGCUUGAUUUCUGUGCUCCUUGUAUUUCUGACAUUUAUCAAAGCUGACAUCACUUGCCAAAGGCCAAGGGAGGAAGGAUGAAACAGAUCAUUUUCAUUUGCCUGGUGUUCUCUUAGCUGUUUCCCAGGCUGACUGAGAACAAUUUGCAUCCUGUCCAGGCCCCAUAAUUUCUGGUUGUUAAAGAAAGACACAUGGGUAUUGCCAAAGCAUCCUGAGACCUUGACUCAGUGUAGUGCGACUUGAAGGAUAUGGGAAAUGUGGGAGGGCCACUUACUUUGAUUUUCUUCGUGUGGCCCACACUGCACGUUUCCUGGAAGAGGACACUGAGCCUGCAUUUGCUCUCAAUCUAAUGUUGGAUUCAAAUUACGAAUAUCUAUCAAAUUCAGUGAAUAUCUGUGAGGUGUCCUCUGUGUGGCAGACUCUUUGCUGACGUUGGGGAGGGUGACUGUGAUGCAUCACAGAUUUUACCUUCAAGGCGAUGCUGGAUGUAGAUACAAAGGACCAUGCUGCUAAGCGUUUUCUUGAGGAAUACGGUGCCGUAAGAAUACAGAAGAAAAGGCAAUUAACUCUACCUCCUAUGCUGCCAAAAAAGAUAACAGGGGGGUAGUAUGUCAAGGGAAAUGUCUUCCAAGACAUUUUAUUCAAACUUAAAGUUUCUUUUCCUGUGUAACUAAUAACCCUGAAACUUAGUGGCUAAAAUAACAGCAACUGUGGAUUAUAAGAGACAGUAUUGCUGUGUAUGGAUGGCUUUUACUGAUUUACGUAAGAGUAGGGACAGGUAACGAUUAUACUGACAAAAAUAAGAUUAAAAAUAACCCUAAAGUAUGAACUGAGGCAUCAUGCGUGUCCAUCAGCGAAAUGUACUUGUGCUUAAAGAGAGUUUGACUGCUGUUGUUCACUUGAAUUUCUCCUGGUCAGUGGGUCCACCUGGCGCACAGAUGGGAGUUGGAGAAAAGUUAGGGUGUGGUCAAAAACCAGGGAGUUGCAAGAUGCUGGCCUUGGCCUCAUUGGCCUGAAUUAAUCCACAACUCAAUGCAUAUUCAAGGCAAAUUUUGGAGAGCAUUUUGGAGGGAGAGUAGCAAGGUCCUGGCUGCAACAGAAUUGGCAAUGGACUGUGGAGAGUUGAACAAAGGAAUGAAACGGGCGAGGAUUUCAAAGCUAACUGGCAGCAGAUUUGAGUCUGGACUUGGUAACUAACCUUGACUAAAUCACGUUAUUAAUAUAAUUUUGCCAAGACAAAGGGCACACAUUAAAAAAAAAAAA
rnacentral:lncRNA from 1 species